rnacentral:rRNA from 1 species
UAGGGAAUCUUCGGCAAUGGACGGAAGUCUGACCGAGCAACGCCGCGUGAGUGAAGAAGGUUUUCGGAUCGUAAAGCCCUGUUGUUAGAGAAGAACGUUGGUAGGAGUGGAAAAUCUACCAAGUGACGGUAACUAACCAGAAAGGGACGGCUAACUACGUGCCAGCAGCCGCGGUAAUACGUAGGUCCCGAGCGUUGUCCGGAUUUAUUGGGCGUAAAGCGAGCGCAGGCGGUUCUGUAAGUCUGAAGUUAAAGGCAGUGGCUUAACCAUUGUACGCUUUGGAAACUGGAGGACUUGAGUGCAGAAGGGGAGAGUGGAAUUCCAUGUGUAGCGGUGAAAUGCGUAGAUAUAUGGAGGAACACCGGUGGCGAAAGCGGCUCUCUGGUCUGUAACUGACGCGGAGGCUCGAAAGCGUGGGGAGCAAACAGG